CGGGCGUUCAGGAGGCGGGCGCGUGAAGGCAGAAAUGAAGCAAACCGAGCCAGAGAGUUGAAUUCGCAAGUGGUGCUCAUUUCCAGGUGAUAAAGAAAAACAGCUCGUCUCCUCUGUCGGACAUUACAGUCUCACCUUCCGUCAAACACGUGGCACAACCAUCGAUCCCAUUAUAAUCAACGGAGAUGUUCACACUGCAAGUACGGCUGUGGCAGCUGAUUUUAAAGGUGCUGUAUGUAAUUGUUUUGACUCUACUAAACCACAAAAUACCAUAAUAUUUUUGCAGAGAUUUAGGAAACAUGCUAAGUUC